AACGAACGCUGGCGGCAGGCCUAACACAUGCAAGUCGAGCGCCCUUUCGGGGGAGCGGCGGACGGGUGAGUAACGCGUGGGAAUAUGCCCUUCUCUACGGAAUAGCCUCGGGAAACUGAGAGUAAUACCGUAUACGCCCUUUGGGGGAAAGAUUUAUCGGGGAAGGAUUAGCCCGCGUUGGAUUAGGUAGUUGGUGGGGUAAUGGCCUACCAAGCCGACGAUCCAUAGCUGGGUUGAGAGGAUGAUCAGCCACACUGGGACUGAGACACGGCCCAGACUCCUACGGGAGGCAGCAGUGGGGAAUCUUAGACAAUGGGGGCAACCCUGAUCUAGCCAUGCCGCGUGAGUGAUGAAGGCCUUAGGGUUGUAAAGCUCUUUCAGCUGGGAAGAUAAUGACGGUACCAGCAGAAGAAGCCCCGGCUAACUCCGUG
rnacentral:rRNA from 1 species